UUGACAGAAGACAGGGAGCAC
rnacentral:miRNA from 1 species